rnacentral:rRNA from 1 species
CGCGUAGGUGGCUUUUCAAGCGCGCGGUGAAAGCCCGGGGCUCAACUCCAGAACUGCCUUUGAUACUGGAAGUCUUGAGUAUGGCAGAGGUGAGUGGAACUGCGAGUGUAGAGGUGAAAUUCGUAGAUAUUCGCAAGAACACCAGUGGCGAAGGCGGCUCACUGGGCCAUUACUGACGCUGAGGCACGAAAGCGUGGGAGCAAACA